AUUGAACGCUGGCGGCAUGCUUUACACAUGCAAGUCGAACGGUAACAGGCCUUCGGGUGCUGACGAGUGGCGAACGGGUGAGUAAUGCAUCGGAACGUACCCAGAGGUGGGGGAUAACGCAGCGAAAGCUGUGCUAAUACCGCAUGUGAUCUGAGGAUGAAAGCGGGGGACCGAGCAGCAAUGUUUGGCCUCGCGCCUUUGGAGCGGCCGAUGUCGGAUUAGCUAGUUGGUGGGGUAAAGGCCUACCAAGGCGACGAUCCGUAGCUGGUCUGAGAGGACGACCGGCGACACUGGGACUGGGACACGGCCCAGACUCCUACGGGAGGCAGCAGUGGGGAAUUUUGGACAAUGGGCGCAAGCCUGAUCCAGCAAUGCCGCGUGCGGGAAGAAGGCCUUCGGGUUGUAAACCGCUUUUGGCAGGAACGAAACGGUGUCCGCUAAUACCGGGCGCUAAUGACGGUACCUGCAGAAUAAGCACCGGCUAACUACGUG
rnacentral:rRNA from 1 species